CCCAUCAGCUCGGCCACACUGCCCAGGGCGAGAAGCAAUGCAUGCCAACAACCUUCCACUGCCAAAUUGCUCCUCAAUGUGUGGGUCAAGGUUGCGCCCCACCUUGCGCUUCUCAAGCUUCCUUGUGACAUGGUUACUCUUCUUUGUUUCCUCAGCUGCAGCCUCACCCUCUUGACCCUGCACAUAUAAACAUCAAACAGUAAACAAUCCAUUAAAGGGAACCAUGAGAUCAAUACUAAAGAAAAGGAAAAGAAAACCAAUUACUAUUACUUUGGUUAACUGCAAGACUCAAAUAAAUAAAUUGAGACAGUCCAAUUUCCAAGGAAAGAUGAAUAAUUUAAUCAUCCCAUGAAAUCCAAAACAAGAUACAGAUGCAUAAACAAUUAAUCAGUACAAAAGGUUGACAAAAAGCAAUCUACCAGCUCUAAACACAGGGCUAGUUAGAAGUGCGCAGUAAGUCACCCAUGAACAGUAGUAAGAUCUCUCAGCAGAUUAAAACAAUGAUAAUUUAUUAUUUCAUGGGGUUGCAAAGGAUGGUACCUCAGCAGCAUCCUUCUUGGCAGCAGGGGCCUUCUUCUUCCUACCAAUGUCCACUCCAUAGUGAGUGAGGUACCACUGCUUGAAUGGGGCAGCAUCAACUUGCACAAUAGCACUCUUCACAAGGGUCUGGGUGCGAACAAGCUCAUUGUUUGACGCAUUGUAGACAACAUCCAGGAUACGGGUCUUGCGGGUAACAGCCUCACUUCCCCAUGAGUAGUUACCAGUAUCCAGGCGGAGAGCCCUCCACUUCACAUUUCCUCCACGGACACGU
rnacentral:lncRNA from 1 species